UACGAGGGGGGCGAGCGUUGUUCGGAAUUAUUGGGCGUAAAGGGUGCGUAGGCGGUUUGGUAAGUCUCGUGUGAAAUCUCCGGGCUCAACUCGGAGCCUGCACGAGAAACUGCCGGGCUUGAGUGUGGGAGAGGUGAGUGGAAUUCCUGGUGUAGCGGUGAAAUGCGUAGAUAUCAAGUGGAACACCAGUGGCGAAGGCGAGUCUCUGGGCCGUAACUGACGCUGAGGAGCGAAAGCAUGGGGAGCGAACAGG
rnacentral:rRNA from 1 species